AUACUCCUGACUGACCGAUAGUGAACCAGUACCGUGAGGGAAAGGCGAAAAGAACCCCGGCGAGGGGAGUGAAAAAGAACCUGAAACCGUGUACGUACAAGCAGUGGGAGCACAGGUUUACCUGUGUGACUGCGUACCUUUUGUAUAAUGGGUCAGCGACUUAUAUUCUGUAGCAAGGUUAACCGGAUAGGGGAGCCGCAGGGAAACCGAGUCUUAACCGGGCGUUAAGUUGCAGGGUAUAGACCCGAAACCCGGUGAUCUAGCCAUGGGCAGGUUGAAGGUUGGGUAACACUAACUGGAGGACCGAACCGACUAAUGUUGAAAAAUUAGCGGAUGACCUGUGGCUGGGGGUGAAAGGCCAAUCAAACCGGGAGAUAGCUGGUUCUCCCCGAAAGCUAUUUAGGUAGCGCCUCGUGAACUCAUCUUCGGGGGUAGAGCACUGUUUCGGCUAGGGGGUCAUCCCGACUUACCAACCCGAUGCAAACUGCGAAUACCGGAGAAUGUUAUCACGGGAGACACACGGCGGGUGCUAACGUCCGUCGUGAAGAGGGAAACAACCCAGACCGCCAGCUAAGGUCCCAAAGUCAUGGUUAAGUGGGAAACGAUGUGGGAAGGCCCAGACAGCCAGGAUGUUGGCUUAGAAGCAGCCAUCAUUUAAAGAAAGCGUAAUAGCUCACUGGUCGAGUCGGCCUGCGCGGAAGAUGUAACGGGGCUAAACCAUGCACCGAAGCUGCGGCAGCGACGCUUAUGCGUUGUUGGGUAGGGGAGCGUUCUGUAAGCCGUUGAAGGUGGCCUGUGAGGGUUGCUGGAGGUAUCAGAAGUGCGAAUGCUGACAUAAGUAACGAUAAAGCGGGUGAAAAGCCCGCUCGCCGGAAGACCAAGGGUUCCUGUCCAACGUUAAUCGGGGCAGGGUGAGUCGACCCCUAAGGCGAGGCCGAAAGGCGUAGUCGAUGGGAAACAGGUUAAUAUUCCUGUACUCGGUGUUACUGCGAAGGGGGGACGGAGAAGGCUAUGUUGGCCGGGCGACGGUUGUCCCGGUUUAAGCAUGUAGGCGGGUGUUCCAGGUAAAUCCGGAACGCUGUUAACGCUGAGGUGUGAUGACGAGGCACUACGGUGCUGAAGCAACAAAUGCCCUGCUUCCAGGAAAAGCCUCUAAGCAUCAGGUAACAUCAAAUCGUACCCCAAACCGACACAGGUGGUCAGGUAGAGAAUACCAAGGCGCUUGAGAGAACUCGGGUGAAGGAACUAGGCAAAAUGGUGCCGUAACUUCGGGAGAAGGCACGCUGAUGGUAGGUGAAGUGAUUUACUCAUGGAGCUGAAAUCAGUCGAAGAUACCAGCUGGCUGCAACUGUUUAUUAAAAACACAGCACUGUGCAAACACGA
rnacentral:rRNA from 1 species